UACGGGGGGGGCAAGCGUUGUUCGGAAUUACUGGGCGUAAAGGGCUCGUAGGCGGCCAACUAAGUCAGACGUGAAAUCCCUCGGCUUAACCGGGGAACUGCGUCUGAUACUGGAUGGCUUGAAUCCGGGAGAGGGAGUGCGGAAUUCCAGGUGUAGCGGUGAAAUGCGUAGAUAUCGGAGGAACACCGGUGGCGAAGGCGGGUCUCUGGGCCGAUACUGACGCGAGGAGCGAAAGCGUGGGGAGCGAAACAGG
rnacentral:rRNA from 1 species